GACGAACCGUGCGAACGUUGUUCGGAAUUACUGGGCGUAAAGGGCUCGUAGGCGGCCAACUAAGUCAGACGUGAAAUCCCCGGGCUCAACCCGGGAACUGCGUCCGAUACUGGCAGGCUUGAAUUCGGGAGAGGGAUGCGGAAUUCCAGGUGUAGCGGUGAAAUGCGUAGAUAUCUGGAGGAACACCGGUGGCGAAGGCGGCAUCCUGGACCGAGAUUGACGCUGAGGCGCGAAAGCCAGGGGAGCAAACGGG
rnacentral:rRNA from 1 species